rnacentral:tRNA from 1 species
GCCUGGGUGGCUCAGUUGGUUGAGCGUCUGACUUCAGCUCAGGUCAUGAUUUCACAGUUUGUGAGUUCGAGCCCUGCAUCAGGCU